UGGACAGAUUAUUGUAUUCGACUGUAUUCACGGCGUGAAACAGGGGAGUACACUGUUUAAAACGGAAAGUGAAUCAAUUAACAUAAUAGACACCU
rnacentral:pre_miRNA from 1 species